rfam:Camelus ferus unplaced genomic scaffold scaffold803, whole genome shotgun sequence.
GAGGAUAGAGCUCAAGUGGUAGAGCGCAUGCUUAGCAUGCAUGAGGUCCUGGGUUCAAUCCCUAGCACUUCCU